rnacentral:lncRNA from 1 species
GAUAUAUGCAUAGAUUUCAAAAACUUUUGAAUAGCAGUGGAAAAGAACUGGGUUAAACCCUUUAACUCUCACAUGCAUUAGAUCAUAUCUAAUCCUAUCCGAGCUCAGGAAUUAAGACAUGUAUAUAAUCUGAAAAUUAAAAUAGAAAAGAGAUCAAAUCUCAAUACCUUUGCAUGGAUUGAAAUAUACCACUACUAAUGAUCUUAGAUUC